CAAUAGCGUAUACUAAUGUUGUUGCAGUUAAAAAGCUCGUAGUUGAACUUCUGGUAGGAGUGUCCCGGCCUUUUUGUUUUUACAAAUUGUAUGCUGUGUGACAUCUCUGGCCAUCCUUCUUCUUUGUUUAAAGAAGAUCUUUCACUGUAAAAAAAAUUAGGGUGUUCAAAGCAAAAGUUUCUUUGGAAUAUAUUAGUAUGGGAUGAUAAGAUAGGCUCUAGAUGCUAUUUUGUUGGUUUGCACAUUUAGAGAAUGAUUAACAGGGACAGUUGGGGGUAUUCGUAUUUACAUGUCAGAGGUGAAAUUCUUGGAUUUUGGAAAGACGAACUACUGCGAAAGCAUUUACCAAGGAUGUUUUCAUUAA
rnacentral:rRNA from 1 species